GAGUCAAUGAGGACUACAGUGAUCUGUCCGAGCGAGUCCAGAGGCACGAGUCUCACCAGAAUGAGCUCCAACAUUACAUACAGCUGUUGCUGAACCGUUCUCCAAAUGAAGCAAACACUUCGCAGCAUACCGACUCUGUGUUGUCACAGGACAAUGAGGACUUAGUUUUGAAUGACACCGCCCAGGCAGCCCAGCUUCAGAGGGAACUGGACCGUAUCCAGGAG